rnacentral:rRNA from 1 species
UAAAACAUAAGAGGUCCAGCCUGCCCAGUGACCCAGUUAACGGCCGCAGUACCCUAACCGCGCGAAGGUAGCAUAAUCACUUGUUCUUUAAAUGAGGACUAGAAUCAACGGCACCACGAGGGUUAUACUGUCUCCUUUCUCUAAUCAGUGAAACUAAUCUCCCCGUGAAGAAGCGGGGAUAAAACUAUAAGACGAGAAGACCCCAUGGAGCUUUAAACCUAGCCACACCCAGAAUCUUUAUACCUAACUAUUAUCUGAACCCUGUAAGCUAGGCUUUAGGUUGGGGUGACCGCGGAGUAAAACAAAACCUCCGCAAUGAACGAAACUACCGUCUUAUCUAAGAAUAAUCCCUCUAAGAAUUAGCACUCUAACAUAAAUGAUCCAAUUAUUGAUCAACGGACCAAGUUACCCUGGGGAUAACAGCGCAAUCCACUUCAAGAGCUCCUAUCGACAGGUGGGUUUACGACCUCGAUGUUGGAUCAGGGUAUCCCAGUGGUGUAGCAGCUACUAAUGGCUCGUUUGUUCAACGAUUAAGACCCUACNUGAUCUGAGUUCGGAC